UACGUAGGGUGCAAGCGUUAUCCGGAAUUAUUGGGCGUAAAGAGCUCGUAGGCGGUUUGUCGCGUCUGCUGUGAAAACUGGGGGCUCAACCCUCAGAGGCCGACCGAUACUGUCGGGCUAGAGUCCGGAAGAGGCGAGUGGAAUCCUGGUGUAGCGGUGAAAUGCGCAGAUAUCAGGAGGAACACCAAUGGCGAAGGCAGCUCGCUGGGACGGUACUGACGCUGAGGCGCGAAAGCGUGGGGAGCAAACAGG
rnacentral:rRNA from 1 species